GACGAACGCUGGCGGCGCGCCUAACACAUGCAAGUCGAACGGAGCUUAGAGAGCUUGCUUUUUAAGCUUAGUGGCGAACGGGUGAGUAACGCGUGAGUAACCUGCCCUAGAGUGGGGGACAACAGUUGGAAACGACUGCUAAUACCGCAUAAGCCCACGGUACCGCAUGGUACUGAGGGAAAAGGAUUUAUUCGCUUUAGGAUGGACUCGCGUCCAAUUAGCUAGUUGGUGAGGUAACGGCCCACCAAGGCGACGAUUGGUAGCCGGACUGAGAGGUUGAACGGCCACAUUGGGACUGAGACACGGCCCAGACUCCUACGGGAGGCAGCAGUGGGGGAUAUUGCACAAUGGGGGAAACCCUGAUGCAGCGACGCCGCGUGGAGGAAGAAGGUUUUCGGAUUGUAAACUCCUGUCGUUAGGGACGAUAAUGACGGUACCUAACAAGAAAGCACCGGCUAACUACGUGCCAGCAGCCGCGGUAAAACGUAGGGUGCAAGCGUUGUCCGGAAUUACUGGGUGUAAAGGGAGCGCAGGCGGGAAGACAAGUUGGAAGUGAAAACCAUGGGCUCAACCCAUGAAUUGCUUUCAAAACUGUUUUUCUUGAGUAGUGCAGAGGUAGAUGGAAUUCCCGGUGUAGCGGUGGAAUGCGUAGAUAUCGGGAGGAACACCAGUGGCGAAGGCGGUCUACUGGGCACCAACUGACGCUGAGGCUCGAAAGCAUGGGUAGCAAACAGG
rnacentral:rRNA from 1 species